AACCUCCAGACUGCCUAAGGAUAUCGCUUCUGGUUUUUGACCACGGAUGUACUGGCACUGACCAUUGAGGCGAUCAGAAGAAGGCUGGGCAUUGUCCUGGCCUUUUUCAUU
rnacentral:sRNA from 1 species